rnacentral:rRNA from 1 species
GAUGAACGCUGGCGGCGUGCCUAAUACAUGCAAGUCGAGCGAACAGACGAGGAGCUUGCUCCUCUGACGUUAGCGGCGGACGGGUGAGUAACACGUGGAUAACCUACCUAUAAGACUGGGAUAACUUCGGGAAACCGGAGCUAAUACCGGAUAAUAUAUUGAACCGCAUGGUUCAAUAGUGAAAGACGGUUUUGCUGUCACUUAUAGAUGGAUCCGCGCCGCAUUAGCUAGUUGGUAAGGUAACGGCUUACCAAGGCGACGAUGCGUAGCCGACCUGAGAGGGGGGGGGGCCAAACGGGAACUGAGACCCGGCACAGACUCCUAGGGGAGGCAGCAGUAGGGAAUCUUCCGAAAGGGGCGAAAGCCGAACGGAGAAGCGCCGGGGGAGGGAUGAGGGUUUUCGGAUCGUAAAACUCUGUUAUUAGGAAAAAACAAAUGUGUAAGUAACUAUGCCCGUCUUGAGGGUACAUAAUCAGAAAGCCACGGCUAACUACGUG